rnacentral:rRNA from 1 species
GAUGAACGCCGGCGGCGUGCUUAACACAUGCAAGUCGAACGAAGCACUUUAAUUGAUUCUUCGGAAUGAAGUUUUGUGACUGAGUGGCGGACGGGUGAGUAACGCGUGGGUAACCUGCCUCAUACAGGGGGAUAACAGUUGGAAACGACUGCUAAUACCGCAUAAGCGCACGGGAUUGCAUGAUCCAGUGUGAAAAACUCCGGUGGUAUGAGAUGGACCCGCGUCUGAUUAGGCAGUUGGUGAGGUUAAACGGCCCACCAAACCUACGAUCAGUAGCCGGUCUGAGAGGAUGAACGGCCACACUGGAACUGAGACACGGUCCAGACUCCUACGGGAGGCAGCAGUGGGGAAUAUUGGGCAAUGGGCGCAAGCCUGACCCAGCAACGCCGCGUGAAGGAAGAAGGCUUUCGGGUUGUAAACUUCUUUUAAGAGGGAAGAGCAGAAGACGGUACCUCUAGAAUAAGCCACGGCUAACUACGUG